CGACGGCGACGGCGACCGCAUGGUGAUGUCGAUGGCAAUGCGACGACCACGAUGAGAUCCUCCUGCCUGCCCUUCGCCUGACCGGCGGGCGACGGCAACAAAAAUGAUGACUCAGAUCGUUGAGGAAACAGUACAAUAUAUCCAUGGCAUGGUGACCAAGAUGGAUGCAUGCACGGGCCUUGCUAGCUUCCCGAUCGUCUGCACACAUCAGUGCCAUGCAUCAGAACAAAAAAGCAGUAUAUUCAUCCAUCUUUGCACUCCAAUGUAUCAAUGUAAUCCGAUCUAAUUUCUACGUGCA